rnacentral:ncRNA from 1 species
GGUUUAAUUCGAUGCAAAGCAAAGAACCUUAUUAAGGUUUGACAUGUCGCGAAUCCUCUUGAAAGAAAGAGGUGCCUUCAGGAACACGAACAUAAUGGUGCAUAGUUGUCGUCAGCUCGUGCCGUAAGGUGUUGGUUAAGUCUCACAACGAGCGCAACCCUCAUGUUUAGUUGCCACCGUUGAGUUUGAAACUUUGAGCAAACUGUUGGUGAUAAGUUAGAGGAAGGUGAAGAUGACAUCAAGUCAUCAUGCCCCUUAUGCCUUAGGCGACAC